rnacentral:rRNA from 1 species
ACGAACGCGUGGCGGCGUGGAUAAGACUGCAAGUCGAGCGCUGAUUACAGAGUAGCAAUAUUUUGUAGUCGGGACGGUGCGCAAGGGUGCGUAACACCGUGGGGCAAUCUGCCAUGAAGUCGGGGACAACUUGCUGAAAGGCGAGCUAAUACCGGAUGUGAAAGUUGAAGGCAUCUUCCGAUAUUAAAGUUGGGGACGAAAGGCCUGACGCUUCAUGAUGAGCCCGCGCCUAUCAGCUAGUUGUGUGAGGGUAACGGCUCACCAAGGCAAAGACGGGUAGCUGGUCUGAAGAGACGACCAGCCACACUGGAACUGAGACACCGGUCAGACACCUACGGGUGGCAGCAGUCGAGAAUUUUUCACAAUGGGCGAAAGCCUGAUGGAGCGACGCCGCGUGGGGGAUGAAUGGCUUCGGCCCGUAACCCCUGUCAUUUGCGAUCAACCGUUAUUAUUUAAAAGAUGAUGACCUGAUAGUAGCGAAGAGGAAGGGACGGCUAACUCUGUGCCAGCAGCCGCGGUAAUACAGAGUCCCGAGCGUUGUUCGGAUUCACUGGGCGUAAAGGGUGCGUAGGUGCGAGGAAAGUCGGAUGUGAAAGCUCGGAGCUCAACUCCGAAAAUGGCAUUGGAAACUACCUUGCUCGAGGGAUGGAGGGGGGACUGGAAUUCUCGGUGUAGCAGUGAAUGCGUAGAUAUCGAGAGGAACACCAGUGGCGAAGGCGAGUCCCUGGACAUCUCCUGACACUGAGGCACGAAAGCUAGGGGAGAGCAAACAGGAUUAGAUACCCUGGUAGUCCUAGCCGUAAACGGUGCACGUUUGCUGUAAAAGGAAUCGACCCCCUUUGUGGCGUAGCCAACGCGCUAAACGUGCCGCCUGGGAAGUACGUCGCAAGAUUAAAACUCAAUGAGAAAUUGACGGGGCCUGCACAAGCGGUGGAGUAUGUGGCUCAAUUCGACGCACGCGAAGUAACCUUACCCAGGCUUGAACAGCGAGUGACCCGCGGACGAAAGGCGCCUUCCUCAAGGACCUCGUAUGAGGUGCUGCAUGGCUGUCGUCAGCUCGUGUCGUGAAGAUGUUGGGUUAAGUCCCGCAACGAGCGCAAACCCUUGUCUGCUGUGCCAUCACGUUAUGGUGGGCACUGCUGCAGAGACUGCCGGUGAUAAACGGAGGAAGGUGGGGAUGACGUCAAGUCAGCAUGGCCUUUAUGUCUGGGGCUACACACGUGCUACAAUGGCCGAUACAAACCGUCGCGAAUACCGCAAGGUGGAGCUAAUCCGGAGAAAGUCGGUCUCAGUUCGGAUUGUAGGCUGCAACUCGCCUGCAUGAAGUUGGAAUCGCUAGUAAUCGCGGAUCAGCACGCCCGCGGUGAAUACGUUCCCGGGCCUUGUACACACCGCCCGUCACAUCACGAAAGCCGGUUGUACUAGGAGUCACCGUAUCAACCCGCAAGGGAGAGAGGUGCCUAAGGUAUGGUCGGUGAUUGGGGUG